UUGAAACACUGGUUCUCAGUAUGAUCACCAAAGUUAAGCAAUGUUGAGCCUGAUCAGUACCUAGAUGGUGACAACUUGGGAGUACCAGAUGCUGUAAG